GUUACAUAUUCAAAUAUACCUCCUCUACUUGAAAAGCUUCACUGAUUCUUUCAAGCGCCAGACCUGUAAAAGAAGUAUCACAGUAGGUAUUACUAAAUAGCAAAAUACAGUACUGUCUAGACUGUUUACAAAAACUGUGCAAGUAAGUAAAUAAAAUCGCCCAAUAUCUUACACACUGUUGCUUUAGUAAUGUUGUGACAUCUAAAUUUAUGUUUUCACUCAAAAUCCUGUCUUUCUCUUGGCUUAGUAGUAUUAUCCAUUUACCAAGAGCUUUUUCCCUUUUACCAAAAGCAUAAUUUUAAA
rnacentral:lncRNA from 1 species